ACAAAAUCAUAGUUGUUUUAUCUUUGUUAAAACGACUAGUUGUUCAGAUAAUAGCGUCCAGUACAUUAACGAGGGCCAAAUAAGCAAAUUAUAUGGUCUGAAAAUCCUCUAACUAUUUGUCCUCUUUUCAAAAAGUCCGACGAACGGAUGUAGCUGACAGUUAGCUAGCUAUGUGUAACGUUAGCUAACUAGCUAGCUAGCUAGCCAGGCCAGAAAGGCAUCAGAAAGGGGAGGGAUUUCCGUUAGACGGAAGCCGUAUAUGUUCAUCUUCUCCUCCUCGCCUCUGGUGCGUCAGUCCUCAGCAUGCAGCACGCCCGGUAGGAGAGAUGAACCCUCAUUUCACUCUUCAGCGGUUUUUCCAAAUGUUAACGUUACCGCGGGCAGCAAAGACAAACCGAGCGGGCCAGUUUAUCCUAAAGAAGUCUGACCGUUCGCCACAUGGAGGCCUGCUGGAGCUGAUGCCUGCCUGGAUGACUUGCAUUAAGUCAAAGUUGAGAUGAAGAAACUGAAAAGAAAUUUGCCUUAAAGAUGGCCUCCACUGGAUAAAAGCAGAUUCGAAUCUGGUGCAGGUGAGCGUGGGGCGACUGAGGGAUGGAUGCUGCUGUGUUUCAGCAGUCGGAAGACCAGCAUCUCGCUGGGUUUGAGAGCUGGUAAGAAUGUGAAGACUGAAAAUGUCCGAGCUGGCUGGACAAAGAUGUGAGGCCGCUGUGUUUCUGAUGGUCCUGAGAUCAAGUCUCUUAUUAACCAGGACCUCGCUGGGUCUGAGAGUUGGUGAGAAUAAGAAGACAAAGCUCUGAUGCGGCUGUGCUGAAGAUGGUCCUGAGAUCAAAUCUCUUAUUGACCACUGACCUCGCUGGGUCUGAGAGCUGAUCGAUUUCAUGACUUGACAAAUGGGGGAAGUAACUGUGAUCCUGCUGAUGUGAUCUAGUUUUAUUUUAACGGUGUCUUAAAUCAAAAGCAUCACUGGCCAGAAAACUGGUUCCACCAAGCCGAUGCAACAAACCUGAAUGAAGAAACGACCGUUUAAUAAAUAGAAAAUAAUGGUGUUUUGGAUAAUCAAGCUAUUGCAUCGAACUGUCAACUUGUAUUUGUUGAAUAAACAUAAUUCAGUUAACUAUU